UUACUGGGCGUAAAGCGCAUGCAGGUGGUUUGUUAAGUCAGAUGUGAAAGACCCGGGGCGUCAACCUACGGAAGUAGCAUUUAGUAAACUAGGCAGACUAGAGUACUGUAGAGGGGGGUAGGAAUUUCAGGUGUAGCGGUGAAAAUGCGUAGAGAUCUGAAGGAAUACCGGUGGCGAAGGCGGCCCCCUCGGACAGAUACUGACACUCAGAUGCGAAAGCGUGGGGAGCAAACAGGAUUAGAUACCCUGGUAG
rnacentral:rRNA from 1 species